rnacentral:misc_RNA from 1 species
GGGCUAGCACUCUGGUAUUACGGUACCUUUGUGCGCCC